rnacentral:lncRNA from 1 species
UUGGAGUUGCUCGAGUGGUAUUAAAGGAGAUGGGAAGGGAUUGAGACUGAUUAAAUCCUAUAAUGUCAAAAUCUGUCGCAUCCUCUCCAAUCCCCUUGUAGAAGGCAUUAACCGAACAACGCUGAAUUCCUUUCAAUCCCCCUCUAAUUCCUACCAAACCGAAACAAAGCCCUUUCGAGGGCUGAUUGCAAUCCCUCCGCUCUCAACCAAACGCUAGCAAAUCUGGGAUAGGACUGUUCCAUCCCAUGCCAAUCCUCCAGCCAAACGGCUGUGUUUUUUUUUUUUUAUUAUUUUGCACUCUGAAGCAUCUUAUAACUUGUGUGUAUACACAAUACAUGGUCGGCAGAUCAGCUGAACGCGCUCUGUUUAUUCUCCUUUUGAAGACGAGUAACGUCAAGGAAAGCAUAAUAGUUUUUUUUUCUUGGGUCGUAUAAUAAAGUUCCUAGAUUAUAGGAUGAGUCCCUGUGUGGCCUCCUAACGCACUGAAUCUAUCAAUAGUGGCGAAGUUAACAAGUAAUCCAUACAAAAACGUCAACGCAUUGCAUUAUCGGAAAUUAGUGGCACGUCAACGUCGUUGCCUAUAAGCAUAUGCUUAGUUUGCUUGUCGUCGUUGACAGUAACAAAUUAAGACGCUAGCCCCAAUGAGCGCACAUCUCAUGUGCCCCGGGUAACAAAAGACAGUCAAGUAUGUUCGCUUGAGUUUAUCUAUCGAUCGAAUCUGUUAAACAUUCAGUAAUAUUUUGUUUUACAAUAAAUCAGUAAACAGUGCUGAUGACUUUUCAAUCAAACGAACAGGAUGAGUAACAUAAAUAAAAGGGGUCAGAGAUUAUCCCAUGAAUAACAUAAUGGUUUGAUUAUAUAGUAGUAAAUUGUAUGCACAAUAUCCAUUCAGAAUUAGCCAUGGUAAUUUGCAACAAAAAAAAACUAGCCAUGGUAAAACAUUAUGCACAUUUUUUUAUUGAAUUCCCAUCUACUACACAUUCAUCGACGAAUCUAGAAUUCAUACGAAAGGGUUCAAGUCAUCUUUAAUCUCUAGAGCGACUCAUUUUUAUCUUCCAUGUCUAUAGAAAUUAGAAAGGACUAAACUAAAGGCUUCAUUAUCGCAAAAGCGGCAGGGGUGCUUGAACCCCACCCGGCCGAUGAUUGUGCCACACCCGCCUGCUAUGUUUUUAUUAGAUUUUUACUACCUUUUGGUAGGACCGUAGGAGCAGAUCGAUCAGCAACAUAAUUGUUCGAGAAAACUUUUAAAAUAAGUAAAGGCUGGAUUUGAACUAAUAGGACUCGUUUGGAACAGUUCCAGUUGGAAUGAUAGAUUUAUUUGUAUUUAACAUUAAUUAGCUGAAAUAGUUCUUAGCCUUAAUCCAUGCCAAACGAUCGAGAGCUAAUACUGGUGAAAAUUCUAAAGUUUGCCAAAGGCAUGCCUAAUUACAACCUAAAUCAUACAAAAAAAACUUUUGGGUAUCCUUUUAGUCAAUUUGCCUCUAUUAUCAAGAGUUACACAUAAAUGCACGUUUUGAUGGUCUUGUGAGUGCUACCAUAAAAUUGUUGAAUUAUAACCAGAAACAUUUUCUAUUGCUUGAGAUAUUUCGUCUUUUGUUUGG